CAUGGUUGUCGUCAGCUCGUGUCGUGAGAUGUGGGUUAAGUCCCGCAACGAGCGCAACCCUAUUGCUAGUUACCAUCAUUAAGUUGGGGACGUCUAGCGAGACUGCCAGUGAUAAACUGGAGGAAGGUGGGGAUGACGUCAAAUCAUCAUGCCCCUUAUGACCUGGGCUACAAACGUGAUACAAUGGCUGGAACAAAGGGAUGCGAAGCAGUGAUGUGGAGCGAAACCCAUAAAAACAGUCUCAGUUCGGAUUGAAGUCUGCAACUCGACUUCAUGAAGUCGGAAUCGCUAGUAAUCGCGGAUCAGAACGCCGCGGUGAAUACGUUCUCGGGGUUU
rnacentral:rRNA from 1 species